ensembl:lncRNA
UCUGCCAACAAAAUUAAUUGCCCUCAUCUCUUGUACAUUGACAGUCCAGAAGAUUCUAGAAGAUGCUUGUAUUUUUGUGGUGUUUACCACAAACAAAAGGCCAAUGCUUUCAGCAGCUGCCCAGAGGGGUUUUGGAGUAAGUUUCAACAAAUUCAACUUGAAUUAUAGUUCACCUUCUCUCUCUGGGGCUGCCCAAUCUUCUUAUCAGUAACCUCAGCUUCUGAGGCCAAGUAGGGUAUUUUACUAGUCAAAGUAAGUUUGCUUCCUUAAGAAAAAAGGAAAAACAAUGCACCACUUUCUUACCUGAUGGGAAAAUAAAUCUUCAGUUUGCAGUUUGGGGAAAAUGUUGUGGUAUUUACAUCUUGCAGAGUUUUAUGUUGCAUUUACAGUAUUGCUUACAGAAUGCAAAAAUUUUCUUGUUUCUUACUUAAUGUAAAGAAACCAAGGACAAGAGAAGUUCCAUCCCAUUCAGUUCAUACAAUAGUAUUUCUUAAACAUAACUGGCAUCAGGAUUACCUGGGAUGCCCAGGCAUCCUGAUUCCAUAGGACCCCAUUUGGAGAAACACUGACCCUUAUAAGUGUCACAAAAUUGGAAACGGCCUUGAAGCUCCUGAGUCCCACCCUUCAUUCUACAGAGGGAAGACUAGUCCAGAAACCUGAAGAGGUUCUCCCAGGCUCCUAUAGCCCACACAGCUCCUGCUGCUCACCAGAGGCAGAAUCAGGCCCAGAUUUUGGUCCUGGGCCCUCUAGGUGUCCUGCCCUGCCAAGCAGCUCUGGCUGUUCUGCAACCUCAUUUAUUUCCUGCUUUCUUCCUCUUGCCCCUGCCCCCCAGCCUGGGUGACACAGCGCGAGACUCCGUCUCAAAAAAAAAAAAAAAAAAAAAAAAAAAAAAUAUCAACCAAACAUAGUGAUGUGCACCUAUGGUCCCAACUACUUGGGAGGCUCAGGUGGGAGGAUCACUUGAGCCUGGGAGGUCGAGGCUGCAGUGAGCUAUGAUUGUGCCACUGCACUCCAACCUGGGUGACAGAGUAUUCCAGAGAUGGUAAAGUAUGUGUGUCUUUGAAUUGAUAACACGUGGGUGUUAAAAUCUCAAUCAUCCGUCUUUUGACUAAAGUCUCAAUUGUCUGUCAAGAGAAGAUUUUGUAGAAAAGGAUAAAACAUAAAGUAAAGUAUAUUUACGUUUAUGAUUAUAAAUACUUCUGCCAAAAGAGGGUAUUUGUGGCUUCUUGUAAUCCUUUGCAGAUAUUGUCACUAACCUCUCCUUCAUUCCUCCAAAUUAUGCAUGUACUUGGUAUUCUUAUUUCCUCAUCCCCAUCUUAUCCAUCAAGUAAGUAAAGCCCUGGAUACCUGAGUUGGUUAUCCGAGACUUUGCAGUGAGUGAGUCAGAGAGGAAUGGAAUUUCUGUUCUCCUUACCCCCAGGUAGCAUUGCCUAGAGCCAUGCUGAGAAGAUCACUCUGUGAGACAAACCAGGAAACCUAAUUAACAGGACAGGUCUGGUCCUGACUCUACAUCAUUUUCAUCUUCAUAUGGAUGACUGAUGAGGGGUGGCUAUGACAGAGCUAUCUGUAUUGUCUGAUCUGGGAAACUGUUUCUUUGAAAAGCUCAUAAAUUGACCUAUUAAGACUAUUAUCUGUGUUCCAGGACUAAAUAAAAGCCACAGCUGGAGACUCCAGUAAUAUGUAAACAUGAAUCUAUAUUAAUGUGGAUAUAAAAUUGCCCAGAAAUCUCUUGAUCAACAAAUUUUUAUGUAUGUUUUGCUUAUCUAUAACUGAUCUUAUAGCUUCCCUUGCUUACUGGGCAUCAUUAUAUAAUAAUUAGUGUGUUUAUAUAUGUUGAAGUAUCUGCUAACUAGAAUGAUUUGGGAUUUAUCCAACUUGAUCCAAAAACAAAUUUGGCCAGG